rnacentral:rRNA from 1 species
CGGAUGAAGGGAGCUUGCUCCUGGAUUCAGCGGCGGACGGGUGAGUAAUGCCUAGGAAUCUGCCUGGUAGUGGGGGAUAACGUCCGGAAACGGGCGCUAAUACCGCAUACGUCCUGAGGGAGAAAGUGGGGGAUCUUCGGACCUCACGCUAUCAGAUGAGCCUAGGUCGGAUUAGCUAGUUGGUGGGGUAAAGGCCUACCAAGGCGACGAUCCGUAACUGGUCUGAGAGGAUGGUCAGUCACACUGGAACUGAGACACGGUCCAGACUCCUACGGGAGGCAGCAGUGGGGAAUAUUGGACAAUGGGCGAAAGCCUGAUCCAGCCAUGCCGCGUGUGUGAAGAAGGUCUUCGGAUUGUAAAGCACUUUAAGUUGGGAGGAAGGGCAGUAAGUUAAUACCUUGCUGUUUUGACGUUACCAACAGAAUAAGCACCGGCUAACUUCGUGCCAGCAGCCGCGGUAAUACGAAGGGUGCAAGCGUUAAUCGGAAUUACUGGGCGUAAAGCGCGCGUAGGUGGUUCAGCAAGUUGGGAUGUGAAAUCCCCGGGCUCAACCUGGGAACUGCAUCCAAAACUACUGAGCUAGAGUACGGUAGAGGGUGGUGGAAUUUCCUGUGUAGUGGUGAAAUGCGUAGAUAUAGGAAGGAACACCAGUGGCGAAGGCGACCACCUGGACUGAUACUGACACUGAGGUGCGAAAGCGUGGGGAGCAAACAGGAUUAGAUACCCUGGUAGUCCACGCCGUAAACGAUGUCGACUAGCCGUUGGGAUCCUUGAGAUCUUAGUGGCGCAGCUAACGCG